GUGCUCACUUUGACAGCACACGUUUGGAACAAUACAGAGAUUAGUGUGGCCCCGCGGGAGGAUGACUUGAAAAUUUGUGAAGCGCUCCAUAUUUGU
rnacentral:snRNA from 1 species